rnacentral:lncRNA from 1 species
UCUUAACGAACAGAGGAAGAGUGAGGGGGACUCUCUGUUGCGGGAAAGUGUUGUCAUCAAUGAUUGAAACGCAAUUAGGAUGAUCAACAGAGAGAUAGUUAUACACAAGUAGAUGUUGCUGUUGGGACCUGUAAAGAGUGAUAAAUUUGGAGCUACCGAUGAGAGAUUUCCAUGAUUUGGAGACUGAUCGGCAACGAAUGAGUGAUUUUACAGGGAGAUGUUUGAUGAUUUCCUCUUGGAUCUCGAAAGGCAUGUUGUUUGACAUCUUGAUUUUGAUUACGAACUCAUGAUAUCAAUUUCUAGGGUUUUCACGAUUUGGGGAUUUAUUUCAGCACAGGUUAUUAUAUAUAAAGUUAAAGAUUAAAUCAAUUUGGGUUUGGCUUUGUCGGUUCAAAAUUGAUAACCUAUAUAUAAAGUUAAAGAUUAAAUCAAUUUGGGUUUGGAUUUGUCGGUUCAAAAUUGAUAAAUUGAUAAACUAUAUAUAAAGUUAAAGAUUAAAUCAAAAUUAUUUAUGU